rnacentral:lncRNA from 1 species
UUGAAAACAUAUUCUUCGUGGUCCUAAAUCUUUGCAACACGAAAUACUGCUCAGGCUUCAGCAAAAAGACUGCGAUUAGACUGGAGCGGCGAUACCCUUGCACGGAUUUGACUACCUUCAAAGGUUUCAGAAAGCCCCUUGAGUCGCUCAUCUAAAAAGAAUAUGACAUUUGGUUUCACAAUGUUUAAGUUGUAAAAAGCAUUGAUUGCCUUGUUCCAAGGCGGUAAUCGUGGAAUGCGGUUUUGAACAUUUUCUCCUUUUAAAUCAAUAUAAUCAAAUAAUUCUUUCACAAAUGAAAAGCUCGGGUCCAAAAAGUAUAAGCUCAUCUAAAAAGAAGUAAAACAAAAUGGAUAAGGGAACAUGGAAAAGAAAGGCUAUACAAAACCACAACAAUUGUCAACGAAAAGGUUGCCUCAAUAAUGUUGAAACUAGGACAAAACCAACAAUGAAAGCUCGACCAUAAAUAUUGGAAAGCUUGUAUCAACCUGAAAAAUCAAAUACCAAAUAGCUCAUUUUUGAAAAAUAGAAACCAGAUAGAAAGGAAGCAAAAUGAAAUCAAAAUUGUAAGAAAUUGAAAUAUUGUCCUGAUGGAAAACAAAAAAAAUCUCAUGUAAAACAAAAACAGUCUUCAACUUUUUGAAUAAAGGAACCACAAGAAAAUGAAAAGAUCGAGUCAAUAAGGAUUGCAUGUUCGUACUUGGAAAAAUUAAAGCUUAUGCAUCACAUAAAAUUGAAGCCUUGUAACAAGGAACAUAGAGAAGUUCAAAAGUAUCAUCUCAAAAAAAAAUAUGGAAAGGUAAAACUGAAUAACCACAUGUAAAAUAUAAGGGUAGCACCAAACAAAACAAUGUCUUAAAAAUUAUAUGAAAAUCUCAGCUUGAAAGAAAUUGAAAAUAGCUUUCAUUUAGCAGAUCUAAAAUGAAAGUUGGGUCAGUAGAAAUGCAAGAACUUCUUUGACAAAUGAAAAGCUUAGGGAAAAAAUGAGCAGGUCGAAAAUAAAGUAAAAAUAAUUCGAUGAGGGAGCAUGGGAAAGAAAAGCUAUAAUAAAACUCAAAAGAUAAAAUGAAAGAUGUCUCGAUAAUGUUGAAAACCAAAACAAAAAAACAAAACAAAGAAAAUCAAAGCUCAAAAGCAAGAAAGUGGAAAGGUUCUAUCAAACUUAAAAUACAUAGCUCAUUUCAGAAAUCGAAACCAAAAAGGAAGUAACUCGGAUGAAAUCAAAAGAUUCUAAGAAAUUGAAAUAGUAAUGCCCCUAAAAACAAAAACAACCAAAAAGGAAAUGAAAAUCUCAAGUUAAUAAGGAUUCAUGGUCGUACUUUGUAAAAAAUGAAAGCCUAUGCACGGAUAAAAUAAAUUAAAGAGCUAAAAUGUCAAUAAGUAGGCUCAAAAUCAUCAAGCUAAAAUAAAUUAAAGACCGUAACAAACCUCAAGCUUGACAUAAAUUGAAGUACCAAAACAUCAUGUCAAUAAAUAAUCUCAAAGCUAAUUUGUUAUACUUGAAAUGCAAUUUGUAAAAUAUAAGGUAGCAAUAAAAUAAAGAUUAUCUAAAAAUGGAAAUUUUAUCUUGGAAGAAAUUGAAUAACAUUUUUCAUUUAAGGCUGAUCUAAAAUGAAAAUCUCAAGUGAAAAAAAUUGCCAGCAGUUCUUUUGAAAAUUGAAAUGCUUAAGUACAAAAAUAGAAGUCCAUCUUAAAAGAAAUAAAAAAUUUGGAUGAGGGAACAUGGGAAAGAAAAACGAUAUAACGAUGUAUCUUGAUUUUGGAAAGCAUGUUUCUGGGAGAGAAGGUAUGUAAUGUGUGUGUUUGAGGAAACAAUGGGCAUUGUAAGUUGAGAAAAGAGAAUUUAUGUGAACCUAUAACAAAAAAGAAUUUGGAACUGUUAGCUCAACAAGUACUAUCUACAUUGUAUACAAAAUGUGUAUACUAAUCUUCGGUAUAACAGAGGGAGGAUUCACAUAAACUUUUCAUAAGGUAUCAGCUUUAAAAGAGGCAUUUCGUUAAACUAUAAGUAAUCAAAAGAUUUGUUAACUUUCUGAAAAAUAAUGUUCCCUACAAAUGGCCUUCCAUACACAAGCGUAUUAAAUAAAGUUUGAAAACAAAAAUGUCAAUUCUAUUUUCACAAAUAGAAUUCCACCAAAACACAAAAUCUAACCAUGGAAAGAAAAAUAAUAACAAAGUAUUUGCUUAUGCUUGAUAAAAAUAUAAAAUAAAAAACAGUAAAAAUAGUUAUACCUUGCCAUGCAUGAUAUCGGCAACACCGCUUUCUAGUUUUUCAUCGCCGCAGCUCGAUACCCCCAUAAACC